UCUCAUCCAUGUUUAUCCCAGCUAUCAGCAGAGACAGCGGGUGGUCUCUUUCCGUUUCUUUAACCAUUGGGUUGAGGAAGCUUCCUUUUUGGAUAUUGUCUCCUCAGUUUGGGCCAAAGAUACUAGUUUGGGCCAAAAUAACUAGCCAUUUUGGUAAGCACAUUUGAAACAUUAGUAUGUUCGUCUUGCUAAAUUUACCUCGGACCUUAGAGAGAGGUGGAGACUAAUCCUUUAUGUGAGAAGCUGAGUAAACGAGCGAGCUUAGCCACAAAAAAUUUUGGGGAGCGGUUAGAGUGGAGGAAGCUGCUAUGCGCCAAAAAUCUAGAAUAUGGUGGCUAAAAUUAGGUGACCAUAAUACUGCCUUCUUUCAUAGGACUGUUAGGUCUCACUUAAACAAUAGUACUUUGCGGUUUGUGGUUCAUCCAGAUGGUACUCGGUUGACUAACUAUGAAGAGGUGACUCAACUGGCAGUAAAUUAUUUUAAAAAC
rnacentral:lncRNA from 1 species